CCUACGGGAGGCAGCAGUGGGGAAUUUUGGACAAUGGGCGCAAGCCUGAUCCAGCAAUGCCGCGUGCAGGAUGAAGGCCUUCGGGUUGUAAACUGCUUUUGUACGGAGCGAAACGGUCUCUUCUAAUACAGGGGGCUAAUGACGGUACCGUAAGAAUAAGCACCGGCUAACUACGUGCCAGCAGCCGCGGUAAUACGUAGGGUGCAAGCGUUAAUCGGAAUUACUGGGCGUAAAGCGUGCGCAGGCGGUUUUGUAAGACAGAUGUGAAAUCCCCGGGCUCAACCUGGGACCUGCAUUUGUGACUGCAAGGCUGGAGUACGGUAGAGGGGGAUGGAAUUCCGCGUGUAGCAGUGAAAUGCGUAGAUAUGCGGAGGAACACCGAUGGCGAAGGCAAUCCCCUGGACCUGUACUGACGCUCAUGCACGAAAGCGUGGGGAGCAAACAGGAUUAGAUACCCUGGUAGUCCACGCCCUAAACGAUGUCAACUGGUUGUUGGGUCUUUACUGACUCAGUAACGAAGCUAACGCGUGAAGUUGACCGCCUGGGGAGUACGGCCGCAAGGUUGAAACUUAAGGAAUUGACGG
rnacentral:rRNA from 1 species